rnacentral:rRNA from 1 species
UACGGGGGGGCAAGCGUUGUUCGGAAUUACUGGGCGUAAAGGGCUCGUAGGCGGCCAACUAAGUCCGACGUGAAAAUCCCAAGGCUUAACCUUGGAACUGCGUCGGAUACUGGAUGGCUUGAAUUCGGGAGAGGGAUGCAGGAAUUCCAGGUGAUUAGCGGUGAAAUGCGUAGAUAUUGGGAGGAACACCAGUGGCGAAGGCGGAGCUCACUGGACCGGAACGUGACGCUGAGCGCGAAAGCGAUGGGAGCAA